rnacentral:lncRNA from 1 species
AGGGUGGGUCUGUAUAACAAGUUAUUUACCAUUGUUUGCUGCUCACUACUUAAAAAAAUGGUGAUUACUGAUUACCCAUCAUUUGUUGUAGAUAAUGGAGAAAAUAGAGAGCGGCAUGCAAGAAUUCGAGGAAUCUGCAGAGAUGAACAGAGCCGAGAUUGAAGAGAACGAAAACAAGUUGGUGGAAUUCGAGGAUCAGAUAGUGAAGGAUCGUAAUGAAGGGAUGUUCUUUAAGAGCUUAGGUACGACGGCAGCACAGAAGGCGCCUAUUGACAAAGAUAAGGCCAUGGCAGAAGCGCAAAAGAUCAAAGCUUUGACCAAAGCAAAAGCUGAAUCAGCUACAAGGAGAAACAUUUACCUUGCUUUGAUUGCAUUGCUAGUGUUCACCAUAGCUGAAUCGUUCGCCGCUGGCCCGGAUUGGCGGAAAGUUGCGGUUCUUGGAGCAAUCUUGAUUGGUUUGAUAACUCAGGUGAGCUACGAGCAGAAGUUGUCAUCAGAUAUAGAAAAGUCGGAAAAGGAAGACAAAAAGGAGUAGCUUUGUUACAGUGAUAUGUAGCAUGAGUUAAUAGUCCCAAGUCGGAUGCUUUCGAGUUGGGGUUGAUAUGCUCAGCAGAAUUUCUCUAUAGCAUCAUCUUAGCUUGUAUCCUUGGUGUGUUACUUUAACACCAAGUCACAUGUAAACCGAAGUUACAAAGCUUGAUGCUUUAUCAAGUUUAUCAAGUUGUGAACGGGUCAUAGAUAUGCGUUCUGUAAUUUGUAAAUGCCAGCUCAUAGAUAUUUUGAAAAAUGCAUUACCAGUUUUUCCAUAUCGUUUCUGGAUUGGAUUGAUCAUAAACACAGUACACCUGGAAAAAGGAACAAAAGCUUGAAAGUUGAAGACUUGUAGGCUAUCAAGAGCCAACGAUUCAGGGAAAUGGAGUCAUGGUGGUGAAAAGUAAAGAAUUCUGGGCACAGAAGUCGAAUUUAGAGACCGGUAGCUUUGACAUCGGCCUUUGUCAAUUAUCAUGAGCUAAAACCUGAGAGGAAGGACGAGAGGCUGAGAACCAGAGAAGCAAAUCAACAAAACAACACGAUAUC